CAGUAGCCGCGGGAAUACGAAGGGGGCUAGCGUUGCUCGGAAUGACUGGGCGUAAAGGGCGCGUAGGCGGAUGGCACAGUCAGAUGUGAAAUUCCUGGGCUUAACCUGGGGGCUGCAUUUGAUACGUGUUGUCUAGAGUGUGAAAGAGGGUCGUGGAAUUCCCAGUGUAGAGGUGAAAUUCGUAGACAUUGGGAAGAACACCGGUGGCGAAGGCGGCGACCUGGUUCAUGACUGACGCUGAGGCGCGAAAGCGUGGGGAGCAAACAGGAUUAGAUACCCGCGUAGUCCCUGUCUCUUAUAC
rnacentral:rRNA from 1 species